AAAUUGAAGAGUUUGAUCAUGGCUCAGAUUGAACGCUGGCGGCAGGCCUAACACAUGCAAGUCGAACGGUAGCACAGAGAGCUUGCUCUCGGGUGACGAGUGGCGGACGGGUGAGUAAUGUCUGGGAAACUGCCUGAUGGAGGGGGAUAACUACUGGAAACGGUGGCUAAUACCGCAUAACGUCGCAAGACCAAAGAGGGGGACCUUCGGGCCUCUUGCCAUCAGAUGUGCCCAGAUGGGAUUAGCUUGUUGGUGAGGUAACGGCUCACCAAGGCGACGAUCCCUAGCUGGUCUGAGAGGAUGACCAGCCACACUGGAACUGAGACACGGUCCAGACUCCUACGGGAGGCAGCAGUGGGGAAUAUUGCACAAUGGGCGCAAGCCUGAUGCAGCCAUGCCGCGUGUAUGAAGAAGGCCUUCGGGUUGUAAAGUACUUUCAGCGGGGAGGAAGGUGUUGUGGUUAAUAACCGCAGCAAUUGACGUUACCCGCAGAAGAAGCACCGGCUAACUCCGUGCCAGCAGCCGCGGUAAUACGGAGGGUGCAAGCGUUAAUCGGAAUUACUGGGCGUAAAGCGCACGCAGGCGGUCUGUCAAGUCGGAUGUGAAAUCCCCGGGCUCAACCUGGGAACUGCAUUCGAAACUGGCAGGCUUGAGUCUUGUAGAGGGGGGUAGAAUUCCAGGUGUAGCGGUGAAAUGCGUAGAGAUCUGGAGGAAUACCGGUGGCGAAGGCGGCCCCCUGGACAAAGACUGACGCUCAGGUGCGAAAGCGUGGGGAGCAAACAGGAUUAGAUACCCUGGUAGUCCACGCCGUAAACGAUGUCUACUUGGAGGUUGUGCCCUUGAGGCGUGGCUUCCGGAGCUAACGCGUUAAGUAGACCGCCUGGGGAGUACGGCCGCAAGGUUAAAACUCAAAUGAAUUGACGGGGGCCCGCACAAGCGGUGGAGCAUGUGGUUUAAUUCGAUGCAACGCGAAGAACCUUACCUGGUCUUGACAUCCACAGAAGAAUCCAGAGAUGGAUUUGUGCCUUCGGGAACUGUGAGACAGGUGCUGCAUGGCUGUCGUCAGCUCGUGUUGUGAAAUGUUGGGUUAAGUCCCGCAACGAGCGCAACCCUUAUCCUUUGUUG
rnacentral:rRNA from 1 species